rnacentral:rRNA from 1 species
GGGGAAUAUUGGACAAUGGGCGCAAGCCUGAUCCAGCCAUGCCGCGUGGGUGAAGAAGGCCUUCGGGUUGUAAAGCCCUUUUGUUGGGAAAGAAAAGCAGCCGGCCAAUACCCGGUUGUUCUGACGGUACCCAAAGAAUAAGCACCGGCUAACUUCGUGCCAGCAGCCGCGGUAAUACGAAGGGUGCAAGCGUUACUCGGAAUUACUGGGCGUAAAGCGUGCGUAGGUGGUUUGUUAAGUCUGAUGUGAAAGCCCUGGGCUCAACCUGGGAAUGGCACUGGAUACUGGCAAGCUAGAGUGUGGCAGAGGGUAGUGGAAUUCCUGGUGUAGCAGUGAAAUGCGUAGAGAUCAGGAGGAACAUCCGUGGCGAAGGCGACUGCCUGGGCCAACACUGACACUGAGGCACGAAAGCGUGGGGAGCAAACA